rfam:Brachypodium distachyon strain Bd21 chromosome 2, whole genome shotgun sequence.
CAUGUACUCCCUCCGUCCGGAAAUAAGUGACUUGGAUUUGUAUAAAAAUCUAUACAAAUCCAAGUCACUUAUUUCCAGACGGAGGGAGUAUGAU